UUUUGCUAUUAUAUUCUAGUAUCAAAUACACAAUUUUCAAAUGGAGGCCUUAUAACAGAUUAUAUUGUUCUCUUCCAAGAUGGUUGCUGGCAUCCACCAGUAACCUUUCAAAACAAAAUGUCUAAUUUCACUGCAUUGACAGUAGGUAAAGAAUUAAACUGACAUUACUCCACUACUGAAUCUAUAUAAACCAACAGUUAAAUAAUGUCAGUUCUUCCGUGUUCUCUGGAAUCAAUCACAGCAAAGAAAUUAGACUCUUUCUUUUGAAAAAUGUUGGGAAAGAACAAUACAAAACAUUCUAUUUAAGGCCUCUAACGUCAAGAUUCAGUUAAACAACAAUUAUAACUAAACAAUUUGAGGUAAUGUUAGUUUCCAUUAACAUUAAAUUAGGUUACUGAAUUGGCAAACACCUUCCUAUUAACAUUACCCAUUUUACCCCAAUAACUAAAGAAAUUAGCACUUGCAGGUCAAAACCUUUAUUCAAGAGAUGCAAAAAUAACAUUGAUACAGUGACUGUCAAAAAUUACGGCACUGAUCAUACUGUGACAUCUUGGUUCAAAACAGCACACUUAGAAAUAUUCAACGUUCCUUACUUCAACUGAAUGAAACUGAAAAUACCAUUUCACACGGCCCAUAUGGGAUAUUUAGACUGCAUAACUGUUCAUGCUACAUCUCUUCACUAGUAAAAGAAAGAAAAAAUACAAAGAGAAAUUUAAAAAUGCUGCCAAACAGACAGAGAACUUGUACAGAGCAAAAGGAAAAACAAACAACAACAACAACAAAAAAACGGCUCGUCCUCAUGGCAGUUGCAGUGUAUAUAAAAAUGAACCCUGCGAUCUGUUCCUGGAAUUGAGCUUCAAAAAUGCAGCAGAACAAGUGUGAGAUUUAAAUGUCUUCUCACCUAGAGCUGAUCAGCUUGCAUGCAUAACAGUGAGCUUCGUUGCAGGAGCAGUUUUGUCUUAGUUGUGAGCUUUUCUUGAGAGCUGAGUUGCUUCCAACUCCAUUACCACCCUUUGAAUCACCUCAAAAGUGUAGCAGAGUUGUGAUGGGUAACUCAUAUUGAAGGAAUAAAAAAGGUCCAAACAGCAUGGCUACUGCAAAGGUCACGUUAUCCAGAUCUUGAAGAACUACUAUACCCUCGAUGAUGAUGCCAACGUCAGAAAAGUCAUUGCC
ensembl:lncRNA